rnacentral:rRNA from 1 species
CAGUAGCCGCGGUAAUACGGAGGGUGCGAGCGUUAAUCGGAAUUACUGGGCGUAAAGCGUGCGCAGGCGGUUAUAUAAGACAGAUGUGAAAUCCCCGGGCUCAACCUGGGAACUGCAUUUGUGACUGUAUAGCUAGAGUACGGCAGAGGGGGAUGGAAUUCCGCGUGUAGCAGUGAAAUGCGUAGAUAUGCGGAGGAACACCGAUGGCGAAGGCAAUCCCCUGGGCCUGUACUGACGCUCAUGCACGAAAGCGUGGGGAGCAAACAGGAUUAGAUACCCCAGUAGUCCCUGUCUCUUAUAC